AUGGAGAGCUACCUGGAGGAGAACUUCGGGGGCGUCAAGGGCAAGAACUCGUCCGAGGAGGCGCUGCGGCGCUGGCGCAAGCUCUGCAGCGUCGUCAAGAACCCCAAGCGACGCUUCCGCUUCACCGCCAACCUCGACAAGCGCGGCGAGGCGCAGGCCAUCAAGCACGCCAACCACGAGAAGCUGCGGGUUGCCGUGCUGGUGUCGAAAGCUGCACUGCAGUUUAUACAUGGCCUCAAACUUCGAAGUGAGUAUGUUGUCCCUGAAGAAGUCAAGGCUGCAGGGUUUCAGAUUUGCGCUGAUGAACUGGGGUCCAUUGUUGAGGGCCAUGACAGUAAAAAGUUGAUCAUCCACGGCGGAGUUGCCGGGUUAGCAGCCAAGCUUGCAACUUCGCCGACGGAUGGGCUUGAUACAGCUGAGGACAGCAUGCAGCGUAGGCAGGACAUAUAUGGAAUAAACAAAUUCACAGAAAGCGAGACCCGCAGUUUCUGGGUGUUUGUGUGGGAAGCUCUUCAAGAUACAACUCUUAUAAUUCUUGCUAUUUGCGCCUUUGUCUCGUUAGUUGUUGGCAUUACGAUGGAAGGAUGGCCAAAAGGUGCUCAUGAUGGUCUAGGAAUUGUUGCAAGUAUCCUCUUGGUUGUUUUCGUUACCGCGACAAGUGACUAUCGGCAGUCGCUGCAAUUCAAGGACCUGGACAAGGAGAAAAGAAAAAUUCAAGUGCAAGUUACAAGGAAAGGUUUCAGGCAAAGAAUAUCGAUAUAUGAUCUUCUUCCUGGAGAUGUCGUCAAUCUGGCAAUCGGAGAUCAGGUUCCUGCUGAUGGGCUCUUCAUUUCUGGGUUUUCUCUUUUGAUUAAUGAGUCCAGCCUAACCGGCGAGAGUGAACCUGUUGUUGUAAAUGAAGAAAACCCUUUUCUUUUGUCGGGUACCAAGGUCCAAGAUGGGUCCUGCAAGAUGCUUGUUACAACAGUUGGUAUGCGAACCCAGUGGGGAAAACUAAUGGCUACUCUCAGCGAAGGCGGGGACGAUGAAACCCCACUGCAGGUCAAACUUAAUGGAGUGGCAACUAUCAUUGGUCAGAUCGGACUAUUUUUCGCUGUCAUAACUUUCAUCGUCUUGUCUCAAGGGUUAAUCAGCAAAAAGUAUCACGAUGGUCUGCUCUUAAGCUGGUCAGGGGAUGAUGCACUGGCAAUGUUGGAGCAUUUUGCUAUUGCAGUUACCAUUGUUGUGGUUGCUGUUCCUGAGGGAUUGCCCUUAGCAGUCACACUGAGUCUGGCAUUUGCAAUGAAGAAAAUGAUGAAUGACAAGGCGCUGGUUCGCAACUUAGCUGCAUGUGAAACUAUGGGCUCAGCUACUACCAUCUGCAGUGACAAGACAGGGACACUAACAACUAAUCAUAUGACUGUUGUCAAGACCUGCAUUUGUGGAAAUAUCAGAGAGGUUAACAGUCCUCAGAAUGCGUCUAAGUUGUGUUCAGAACUUCCAGAAAAUGUUGUCAGAACUCUUCUCGAGUCUAUAUUUAACAAUACAGGUGGAGAGGUUGUUAUUAACCAAGAUGGGAAACACCAGAUCCUUGGUACCCCAACAGAGACAGCCAUAUUGGAGUUUGCAAUGUCAAUAGGUGGAAACUUUAAGGCAAAGCGUGCUGAAACUAAGAUUGCGAAAGUGGAGCCUUUCAAUUCAACAAAAAAGAGGAUGUGUGUCCUUCUUGAGCUUGCUGAAGGAGGAUACCGUUCACAUUGUAAAGGUGCUUCAGAAAUAGUCUUGGCUGCAUGUGAUAAGUUCAUAGAUGAGACAGGUGCUGUUACCCCUCUUGAUAAAGCAACUGCUGGCAAGCUCAAUGGUAUUAUUGAUGGUUUUGCUAAUGAAGCUCUUAGGACAUUGUGCCUUGCUUACAGGGAAAUGGAAGAAGGCUUUUCCAUUGAAGAGCAAUUACCACAGCAAGGGUACACAUGCAUUGCUAUCGUAGGUAUUAAAGAUCCUGUUCGCCCAGGUGUGAGAGAGUCUGUUGCAAUUUGCCGCUCUGCUGGAGUUACGGUGAGAAUGGUCACAGGUGACAACAUAAAUACAGCAAAGGCGAUUGCCCGUGAAUGUGGUAUACUCACCGAAGAUGGCCUGGCCAUCGAGGGACCGGAUUUCAGGGAGAAAACUCUUGAGGAACUCCUUGUGCUUGUUCCAAAAAUUCAGGUAAUGGCCCGAUCAUCACCGCUGGAUAAGCAUACACUUGUAAAGCAUUUGCGCACAACAUUCAAUGAAGUUGUUGCUGUUACUGGUGACGGCACAAAUGAUGCUCCUGCUCUGCAUGAAGCAGAUAUUGGACUUGCAAUGGGCAUUGCCGGGACUGAGGUGGCGAAAGAGAGUGCCGAUGUCAUCAUUCUGGACGACAAUUUCUCUACAAUUGUAACUGUUGCCAGAUGGGGGCGCUCUGUUUACGUCAACAUUCAGAAAUUUGUGCAGUUUCAGUUAACUGUUAAUGUUGUGGCUUUACUAGUUAACUUCUCCUCAGCUUGUUUUACAGGAAAUGCGCCACUGACGGCUGUUCAACUUCUUUGGGUCAACAUGAUUAUGGACACACUUGGCGCACUUGCAUUGGCCACUGAACCACCCAAUGAUGACUUGAUGAAGAGAGAGCCAGUAGGAAGAACAGGGAAGUUCAUCACAAAUGUGAUGUGGAGGAACAUUUUUGGGCAAUCUCUAUACCAAUUUGUUGUUAUGUGGUAUCUCCAGACGCAAGGAAAAACCUUUUUUGGGCUUGGAGGCUCUGAUGCUGAUAUAGUGCUGAAUACAAUUAUUUUCAACUCAUUCGUCUUCUGCCAGGUGUUCAAUGAGAUAAGUUCGAGGGAGAUGGAGAAGCUCAAUGUGCUCAAGGGCAUGCUGAAGAACUAUGUCUUCAUGUGUGUCCUCAGCAGCACCGUUGUCUUCCAGUUCAUCAUGGUCCAAUUCCUCGGCGAGUUUGCCAACACGACGCCUCUCACCAGUCUCCAGUGGCUAGCCAGCGUGCUCCUUGGCCUCGUCGGGAUGCCGAUCGCCGUUGUCGUCAAGCUCAUUCCUGUUGGGUCCUCCUGA
rnacentral:rRNA from 1 species